rnacentral:misc_RNA from 1 species
GACGUAGGGGGCAAGCGUUGUCCGGAUUUAUUGGGCGUAAAGAGCUCGUAGGCGGUUCCGUAAGUCGGAUGUGAAAACUCAAGGCUCAACCUUGAGACGCCAUUCGAUACUGCGGUGACUCGAGUCCGGUAGAGGAGUGUGGAAUUUCUGGUGUAGCGGUGAAAUGCAUAGAUAUCAGAAGGAACACCAACGGCGAAGGCAGCACUCUGGGCCGGUACUGACGCUGAGGAGCGAAAGCGUGGGGAGCGAACAGG